ensembl:snoRNA Gm23180 predicted gene, 23180
ACUGCCACCAACAGCAUUGCAUGGCUGGCUGCUGUUCACACAAUUCAAUAGGUGGCAGAGAAGAGGUUAUGUUUAUGCACUGUGUUCUGACUUGUGAACACUUGAAUGAUUAGUAGCCUAACUUU